rnacentral:rRNA from 1 species
GGCCAGACUCCUACGGGAGGCAGCAGUGGGGAAUAUUGCACAAUGGGGGAAACCCUGAUGCAGCGACGCCGCGUGAGUGAAGAAGUAAUUCGUUAUGUAAAGCUCUAUCAGCAGGGAAGAAAAUGACGGUACCUGACUAAGAAGCCCCGGCUAACUACGUGCCAGCAGCCGCGGUAAUACGUAGGGGGCAAGCGUUAUCCGGAUUUACUGGGUGUAAAGGGAGCGUAGACGGUCCUGCAAGCCAGAUGUGAAAGCCCGGGGCUCAACCCCGGGACUGCAUUUGGAACUGUAAGGCUAGAGUGUCGGAGAGGCGGGCGGAAUUCCUAGUGUAGCGGUGAAAUGCGUAGAUAUCGCGCAGAACCCCGAUUGCGAAGGCAGCGUACCGGCUCCACACUGACGCUGAGGCACGGAAGCGUGGGUAUCGAACAGGAUUAGAUACCCUAGUAC